rnacentral:rRNA from 1 species
ACUCCUACGGGAGGCAGCAGUAGGGAAUCUUCCACAAUGGACGAAAGUCUGAUGGAGCAACGCCGCGUGAGUGAAGAAGGGUUUCGGCUCGUAAAACUCUGUUGUUAAAGAAGAACAUAUCUGAGAGUAACUGUUCAGGUAUUGACGGUAUUUAACCAGAAAGCCACGGCUAACUACGUGCCAGCAGCCGCGGUGAUACGUAGGUGGCAAGCGUUGUCCGGAUUUAUUGGGCGUAAAGCGAGCGCAGGCGGUUUUUAAGUCUGAUGUGAAAGCCUUCGGCUCAACCGAAGAAGUGCAUCGGAAACUGGGAAACUUGAGUGCAGAAGAGGACAGUGGAACUCCAUGUGUAGCGGUGAAAUGCGUAGAUAUAUGGAAGAACACCAGUGGCGAAGGCGGCUGUCUGGUCUGUAACUGACGCUGAGGCUCGAAAGUAUGGGUAGCAAACAGGAUUAGAUACCCUGGUAGGAUAGCG